AUAUGCACCAUACGUUUAAAGCACAUUCCCCUCCCGCAAAGAAUCCUGGGAUUCUUUGGGGAGGGGGAUGAGCUUUAAAUGUAUGGUGUGUAC